UUGGGUACUGAGGGACUACCAAAACCAGGAAAUUCAUGUUUUAUGAGUUUUCCCCAAAUCAAAGCAACAGGGUUAUGGUCAACAUCAUCCUUUCACUCCCACUGGGUCCUUUCUGGGAGGUGCUUUCAGAGGCAAAAGAAACUUUUUGCCGUGAAAGUCACAUCCACUUUAUGGCUUUGUUUCCUGCUGAAAAUCUAGAUCUGAUUGUUCUAAAUCUGACUGUGAUUCAAACUUCCUACAUAAAUUUAGGAAAAACCACUUAAGGUCUUUAUUUCAGUUUCAGAUACAUACACACAUAGACCUGUAUUACCUAGCUACAGUAUGUAUCUUUCAUAAAACAAUAGUAAAUGUCUGAUAAAUAAGUAAUAUUUUUUGUGCUUUUUCCUAUACCAAGUGUAUGCUAAUGAAUUUCUGUGCCUCUAAUCUGGGCAAUCGUACCCUUUUCACCCGCUACCCCCACCCCACUCCAAGCAUAUUUGCUCUUGAAAUACAUAUUUAGUAUUACAUACCUUACC
rnacentral:lncRNA from 10 species